GCAUCUUUCGCCUCAUUCAACACAACGCUUCAAAGUUUCAACCCGGCGGCUCAAUUUCCAUAUCAACAACCCGGUCCUUUACCUCGAUUUCCUCCUAGUGAUUCCGAUGAGGAAGAGCACCAACCACCGCCCCAGACUUAGAUGAUUCCAGGGAAGUCCUAUUGCACUUUAUUGUUAUCCAAUGAGGGCAUUGUCUUAUUUAAGUUUGGGGGAGUAAUUUGUUUAGUUGCAUACAU
rnacentral:lncRNA from 1 species